CCUACAGGAGGCUGCAGUGGGGAAUAUUGGACAAUGGGGGCAACCCUGAUCCAGCCAUGCCGCGUGUGUGAAGAAGGCCCUCGGGUUGUAAAGCACUUUCAGUGAGGAAGAACGCCUGGUGGUUAAUACCCAUCAGGAAAGACAUCACUCACAGAAGAAGCACCGGCUAACUCCGUGCCAGCAGCCGCGGUAAUACGGAGGGUGCGAGCGUUAAUCGGAAUUACUGGGCGUAAAGCGCGCGUAGGUGGCUUGAUAAGCCGGUUGUGAAAGCCCCGGGCUCAACCUGGGAACGGCAUCCGGAACUGUCAAGCUAGAGUGCAGGAGAGGAAGGUAGAAUUCCCGGUGUAGCGGUGAAAUGCGUAGAGAUCGGGAGGAAUACCAGUGGCGAAGGCGGCCUUCUGGACUGACACUGACACUGAGGUGCGAAAGCGUGGGUAGCAAACAGGAUUAGAUACCCCGGUAGUC
rnacentral:rRNA from 1 species